rnacentral:lncRNA from 1 species
GUAUAGACGUUGAGAUCAUACGGUGAAGUAUUUUAUUUGAAUAAUUGAACAAAUCAAGACUAUUGUGGUAUUUUAUUUUAUUUUAUUUUAGUUAUAGCCUAAUAGGGAAUGUGAAGGUACGUCACACAGUGUUGCAUUAUGGGACGUGGGCGCCAUGUUUAGAGGCACGAUCUCUGUUUACGUUUUCGCCAACCAUUGCUAUGACAUUUAAUUGUGGGUGUGUUUGGCUAAAACGAGGUAAAAUUGAAGAACGGAAGUAAUGGAGAAGUUGAAAGAAAAAGAGAAGGGGCCCUAUCGGGAGAAACUAAAUGCCACUUCCAAAAAAAAAACGUUAUUUAGACAAACUGUCCGAGAUAAACAAGAUAGAUCCAUUUGAUUUAGCAGCCCAAGACUGGAUUACGGAUCCAGACGCACUACCUCCGCUCACAUGUAUGGACAUCGUCAAUUACCUCGUUUUAGGAUUGAGUGCGUACACUUUGCAGGAGUUUAAGAGCUAUAAAUCCCUUCAAGCUCAUGAACAGUUUUGCAGCGGCUGGGUACAAGACCUCCUCAUUCACAGGCCGCCUAACUGCAAGAGCACAGUCGUACUGGCAAAGGUGAUGCACUCCCAGUGCCUUGGUGAAGUUCCUCUGAAGGCUUGGGUUAUUAUCAACACCAAUGGUGAAGUUUCCUCAGCCCACUGUACGUGUAUGCCUGGAGUUGCAGAGACAUGCACCCAUGUUGAAGAAUGUCAGUACCCAAACAGUUAUCUGGAACCACUGACUUCCAUAGAUUUUUUUUUCCUGCUAUGGAAGUCAGUGGUUCCAGGUAACUGUUUGGUUAUUGACAUUCUUCAAAAUAUCUUCCUUUGUGUUCAGCAGAAGAAAGAAAUUCAUACAGGUUUGAAACAACUUGAGGGUGAAUAAAUGACAGAAUUUUCAUUUUAAAGUAAACUAUCCCUUUAAAGGGUCUCUGUGAAUACAAUCAGUACAGAAACAGAUAAGUCACUUAAUGUAUUUAAUAAGCAGUUAUAUAAAAACUUGAGUCAGAAACACUUCAAAAAGGCAUGUAAAAAUAUGUACAGAAUAUCAAAGCAAAUUGUUCAUUGAAAACAAAAUAAAUAAUUUUUGAUUCAUGCAAUGUGGCCUGUCUUUAUCAUCUGCUAACAUAAUCCACAAAUUCAACAUCAUUCAUCAACUAUCCUACAAAUCAUCAAGGAAUAUACAAUACACAACACCUUUUGCUUUGUACAACUUUUAACAAACGUUUUUACAAACCAGUUGAUUUAGCAAUCACUGCACAACACUUGGACACAUGUUUGUAAGAGCACAGCAGACUGUGACAACUUUCUUCUUGUUCUUUCUCCUCCCCUUCCUCUCCUGGCCUCUUGCUAAUUACCUGAUGUUUGAGGUAUUUUCUUAACUGACGUGCAAACCUCUCUUUGUUCAUCACUUUCACUUCAUUGUGGCCCAGAAGUAAAGAUGGUGCCCAGUCAGGAUGAGUAUCCAGCAUUUCAAAUGCUGGUUGUCCUGUAAAUACAGCAAUUUUGUAGGUUAUAGACAAUUAUGGACAUCUUCAUAUACUUUCAACACACAUACAUCUACAUAUACACACACACACUCACACAUAUAUAUAUAUACAUAUACAUAAUUAUGUUAGUGUAACCGUCUUCUUCUGUCUGCGUUGUGUUGUUAAUUCAGUGCAAAAAAAGACAGGAGAGCACCAGAUUGGGUCUGCAUAAGAGAAUAUAUUUUGUUUUACAGGCCGUCACGCCAGCUUCAGCUCAAUUACACAGUGACACUCAGUUCGGGAGAAAGGCAGAAAAGGGAGAAAACGAAGGAAGACAAAAAUAGGGUUUUGUCAAUGCAUACCUGCAUAAGAGAAUAUAUUUUGUUUUACAGGCCGUCACGCCAGCUUCAGCUCAAUUACACAGUGACACUGCCAAAAAACAUAACAUUCCCAAUAUAUUGUGAAUAAAAUAAAUAAAAACAACUUAAACAUCGUGUGUGUGACUUGUUUUCAACCAAUGCUAACAACUAAUCGGUAGCAUAGAAUACAGCAUACCUCGGGAGAAAGGCAGAAAAGACCGCUCAAAGAUUAAUACAGCGGAUAUAGCUGCCUGGACCGAACCACUUUGUUGUAAAGAGGAGGGGAGGGGGGGGGGCGGUCAAACCAUCACCUCUUUACAGACCGUUUUUUAAUGAAUUUUAUGAAUAUAAACACUUGUUUCAAUAAUAGUAAAACAGCCUUAAAUGUAUAAUAACAGAAAAAUCUUGUGAAAUUAAACCAUUUUAACCUCGUUACACUCACCCCCACUGAUUUCACUAGAUUUUACAUAACAUCAUAAAAAGAGUAAUACAUAAAAAAAUAAAUAAAUAAAUAAAUCAUGCCCAAAAUACUCAACUCUACAGUUAGAUGACUCAGCAAUCAAGUGUAUCUCCCAAACAUGAAGACUGAAGAAAGUCUACCAACAUUAUCGCUGUCCACAGAAGGACUAGGAAAGAGAAAGGUUAGCUACUCCUUUACCUAACCAUAGGAAGACAUGCCAUAUACACAUCUUAUCGACAAAUUACAUCCAAGAUUGCAUAAUUGUCUAAUUGUCAUAGACUACACAAAUGUGUUUUUUUUUUCUUUACAAGGACAUUGAAAACGUGAAAUGAAAGAGAGAAAAAAAACAAUAAUAAUAACACAUGAACUCUUUAUCAACUCUUCUUGUUUUCUCCAAACGAGAUCGACAAAAGAUAGGUUAGAUAUAGUCUUAAUGAGCCUAUUUAACGGCUAUACCAGUCUGAAUGAGCCUAUUUAACGGCUUUACUAGUCUGAAUGAACCUAUUUAACGGCUUUACUAGUCUUAGACUGUACACUAUUACACAUUAACCCUCUUAAACAAAAUAGAAAACAGAAAAUGUAUCAAUAGAAAUUGUAACAACAGAACAAAAACACAAAAAAUAUAUAUAUAUAUAUAUACACACAAGUAACCAUCUACCAAUUACUCAUAGUAUCAUUUUCUUUUACCCAAAAAGAUUCUUAACAAAUUGACUAGACAUAGUCUGAAUGAGCCUAUUUAACGGCUUUACAAGUCUGCCAUGUCUAGUACGAUAACCCUCACUCUGCCCAGGCCUUUCCACUGACAGCUCCUUUCCAAAGGUAGAUGGUGGUACAGAGGGGGGAUGCUCAUUAACCAGGCUUCCUUCGUGAACUUACUUAAUCUCAGUGACAUUCUCCUCACUCAAAUUGACACUUGUUGCCGAAUCAUCCUGAUUCCCAUUCCUUAAUUCAGAGUGGUCACAACCGCGUUUAUCAUUGCCCACAUGGAAAUCAACACCAGUAACCGUAACAUCACACUCACUGGAAGCAGAAGUUACCAACUCCCCCUCAAAUUCUACAUCAUCACUUUCGUGAACAGUUCCCUCACACAUCACAUUCUGCUCAUCCACUUCAUCUCUAUGUGCGACAGAACCACCAGACCUGCUAGAGUGGUCAGCAACCCACUGAGUAGUCCUUUCUUCUGCAAGCUGCUCAAAACUAGAGUCCUCAGGUUCAUCACCACUCAUACUGGAUAACUGUUCCUCGACAGCGCCUGCAUCAAGCAAAGGCAGAAAGUCAACCGGCAUAAUCAGAUUCCUAUGAACAGUUUUAACAACGCCCAAAAGGCUUCUGAGUUUGUACGUGUUCAUUAAGGAAUUUUUGUCAAUCACUACAUAAACUGUACUCUCCCAACGAUCUGCCAGUUUCUUUUUACCUCUUUCGCCUUUGUUGGCUAAUAAAACUCUUUGCCCAAUGUCAAUUGACUGUCCUUUACACCUUUUGUUAUACAUUUCUGCUUGUUUGUGUUGUUGUUUUUCUGAAUGGGACUGUGCAAGCUUCAUAGCUUCACAGAGGUCUCGCUUGAGUGACUGCACAUACUUAUCAAUGUCAACUGUUUCUCCACUCAAAAGUACAGGUUCAAACAUCAGGUCAACGGGUAGUCUCGGAGUACGGCCGUACAUGAGAAAAAAAGGUGAAAAACCUGUAGUUUCGUGAACUGUACAAUUAUAUGCAAAAGUCAAGGUGUUCAACAUUUGUGGCCAUCUGAUUUUAGAUCUGGGGGGCAGUGCACGGAUCAUGUUACCAAGAGUACGGUUCAUUCGUUCCACCUGGCCAUUGCCCAUUGGAUGGUACGGUGUGGUGUGCGUUUUGUCAAUACCAGCCAACUGACACAGCUCUGCAAUCAAUAGACUCUCAAAAUUGGCGCCCUGGUCAGAGUGAAUGCUAACUGGAAAACCAUACAUGCAAAAGAAGUUAUUCCAAAGAACCCGUGCCACUGUCUUCGCAGAUUGAUUAGCACAAGGAUAUGCACAUGCCAACUUCGUGAAAUGGUCAGUGACUACUAAAACGUCAACAGACUUAUUGUUGUGGUCUUCAGCUGACCAAAAGUCUAUACAGACUAAUUCGAGUGGCGACGAAGUGGUAAUGGAAACUAAUGGGGCCCUAGCCUCAGGCUCUGGGGCUUUACUCACAAUGCAUCUCUUACAGUAGUGUACGUAAUCCUUCACAUCUUUCUCCAUUGUAUCCCAAUAAA